rnacentral:tRNA from 1 species
GUAGAAUAAGCUAAAUAAAGCUAGUGGGUUCAUACCCCAAAAAUGAGGUAAUAACUCUUCUACUA